rnacentral:rRNA from 1 species
GCAUAUCAAUAAGCGGAGGAAAAAGAAACCAAACAGGGAUUGCCUUAGUAACGGCGAAGUGAAGCGGCAACAGCUCAAAUUUGAAAUCUGGCCCCCGGGUCCGAGUUGUAAUUUGUAGAGGAUGCUUUUGGUGCGGUACCUUCCGAGUUCCCUGGAACGGGACGCCAUAGAGGGUGAGAGCCCCGUCUGGUCGGAUACCAAUCCUCUGUAAAGCUCCUUCGACGAGUCGAGUAGUUUGGGAAUGCUGCUCUAAAUGGGAGGUAUAUGUCUUCUAAAGCUAAAUAUUGGCCAGAGACCGAUAGCGCACAAGUAGAGUGAUCGAAAGAUGAAAAGCACUUUGAAAAGAGGGUUAAACAGUACGUGAAAUUGUUGAAAGGGAAGCGCUUGCGACCAGACUUGGGCCCGGUCAAUCAUCCAGCGUUCUCGCUGGUGCACUUGGCCGGCCCAGGCCAGCAUCAGUUCGGUGUGGGGGAUAAAGGUAGCGGGAAUGUGGCUCCCCCGGGAGUGUUAUAGCCCGCCGCGCAAUACCCUGUGCUGGACUGAGGACCGCGCAUUCGCAAGGAUGCUGGCGUAAUGGUCAUUAGCGACCCGUCUUGAAACACGGACCAAGGAGUCGUCUUCGUAUGCGAGUGUUCGGGUGUUAAACCCCUACGCGUAAUGAAAAGUGAACGCAGGUGAGAGCUUCGGCGCAUCAUCGACCGAUCCUGAUGUUCUCGGAUGGAUUUGAGUAAGAGCAUACGGGGCCGGACCCGAAAGAAGGUGAACUAUGCCUGUAUAGGGUGAAGCCAGAGGAAACUCUGGUGGAGGCUCGCAGCGGUUCUGACGUGCAAAUCGAUCGUCAAAUAUGGGCAU